AACCUUUCCCUUCGAUUCUAUUGCUCGUUUUGGAAUCCAUGCGAAGCCAAAUCAGUCUCCUGAUGCUGCAGCUCUCUGCAAGUCCUGAUUGCUCUGCGAUUCCCUCCUAGCGAUUUGAGUUCGUUCUUCUUGUUGCUUUGGAGUCCACAUGCACGUCAUCUAUCCAUCUGUUCGUGGAUACUACAGCUACUGUUUGAUUCCCUGCACGCACUUUGAGCUGUUUUGCGGGCUCAGAUUUCUUGAAGCUAUUGUUGGAUCCUGUGUUGCUGUUGGUUCCUGUUCCUGGAUAUGAUGUUGACUGCUAAGAUUGUUGUCAUCUUUGCGUGUGUUAUUUAUCUUCCUUUUUUUGUCGUCCUUCUACUGAAUGAGCUUCUGGUGAUUUAUCUCAUCUUCACUAAGCUUCUCUCUUCCAAAACUGCGACACCAUGUUCCCCGGUUGCCGGUUGCUUUCUCCUUCACUGCUUGGUCAACUCCAAGCUACGUUGCGUGAUAGACUGAUAACGAAGCAAGCAGGACGGAGCUGAUAGAGACAGGAGAGGGAGGAAAAGGAAGCAGUAAGAAGGAUUACCUAAAGGAGAAAGAGAAAGUAGCAUACAAGAGACGAAGAAGCUUUCGGAAAGGCUGCUUUCAUGGACCGCGACGCCGAAAAGGCUGCUUUCGGAAAGCCCGGUCGAGCAGCAGUGACCUCGGACGCCACUCCGGCGAUUCUGGGCCAUCAAAUAAGUGGAACUACCAACCUACUGUGUCCACGAUGGCGGUGUCUCCACCGAAGACGGCCCGAGCCCCGGCGAAAGGCAGCCACAGAGUCUCGUGCUUGGUCGACGGGUGCACGGCAGAUCUCAGCGAGGGCAGGGAGUAUCACCGGCGUCACAAGGUCUGCGAGCUGCACUUCAAGACGCCGGUGUUGAUGGUCCACCGGCAACAGCAGCGCUUCGGCCAGCAAUGUAGCAAAUUUCAAUUGGUAGAAGAAUUUGAUGAGGUAAAGAGAAGCUGUAGGAGACGACUUGAAGAGCAUAACAAGCGUCGAAGGAAACCUCAGCCAUGUUCUAUAAAUCCAGGGAAUUUGUUUCCAGAUCAUCAAGGUUUGCUCUUUGUCGAAACAACCUUUGGCGUAAGAAAUCUCUCACUAGCCCACAAUAUGCAUGAAACUUUCCAUCUACUGCGAGACUGCCAUCGGCAGCAAAGACCCCCCAGAUUUGUGCAGGUCAGCUGAAUCUUAGCACAAUCACUCACUCCUGUGGGCCGCAGCAGUGAGAUGCUCAAUGAUGGAAUAAAGCCAUUAAAGCAAUCCUUUGACUCCUACCGUGCUCUCUCUCUCUCUUCUGUCAUCUUCAACCCAGACCUCGAACACCAGCCCGAGUCAUACGGUGCCACCAGCUGAUGGAAUCCCGGCGGCGGCUCAGCCUUUUGUUUCAGCUUUGCAAUACGGCGGUCUCUCCCACAGGCAUCAAGCAACGCAACACCAACUGCUCUUCCAAGUGCAGGGACGGAGGACAGCAAUCUGCGGACUAUUUUGGUGUCUGGUCGUGCUGAUGAUUCUGAGAUUGAUUCCCAGAACAUAUUCCAUGUUGCAGGUGAAGGUUUCUCGGAGGAGACCAGCCGAAAUCUUGGCCUUGAUGAUUGGCUACUGUUGAUCACAAUGGAGUCAUGUUCCUUAUUAUCAUUUAUGAUUCGGGUCCACGUCCGCCGUAAUCUUGACCCAAGUCAAGUCAAACUCAAGUCAGAUUGUAAUGAUGCAAUCCGUCUACUGGAUCACCAAUCAAGAUGGUUACCAUCAAAUCAACGGCGACAGGAUUCGGGUUCGUAGUAUCCGUUCGCUUCAAACUCCGUUCGGCUGCGUGUUGGGCGCCGCCCUCGAAACGGAGAAGAAAACCGCCGCAAAGAUCGCUCAAUUCCUUAACGAACCCUUGAAUCCCUUUAAAUUCGAAAAAGGAAGCGAAUCGUAAUCGAGAUUCCUUCCGUUUAAUCGUCGGAAAUCACGAAUAUGAUGAUCUUGGAAGCGACGGUGGCGGAGGAAGAAGAGGAUGCGAGGCCGAUGUUGGAGCGGCGGGGAGAGCCCUUGAUGGGGAGCGUCGGAGGGGAUGUGCAUUUGAUUCCGCCAUCCAACUUCGGGGUUCCCUAUUUCGGACAAUUUUCCCUUCUUGGAGUCCCUCAACUUGCGAUCCAUCGUGUACUUGUGCCCGGAGCCGUACCCGGCGGCUAAUGCUGAGUUCGUGAGGUCUUAGGGGAUUCGGCUUUUCCAGUUCGGGAUCGAAGGGAGCAGGGUAAUUUUCUUCUUCCGUCUUGUGAGACAUCCAUUCGUGAAUUGUAUUUGAUCUUAUGGUUUACAUGAGGUAUCGCCAUUGUUUUCCUUUUGCUUUACCUGAUGAAAGGUAUUGAUGUGGAAUCCCCAUUUGGGUUUUAUCGAUAGGUUAGACAAUUGGUGUCAAAAGUAAAAAAGCAGCUUUUCUUGUUGGUGGAUUUUGAUUGGUUUUUGCUCGUUAUUAUUGGAAAUCAAUAACAAGUUAUAUCAAUACCAGUUUGAUUCAAGAAAAAUAAGUUCUAACCUAAUCUUGUUUUAUUGAAUUUGUUUUUUAGUUAAGAAAUGUAAAUCACAUAUAUAAAAGGGAGGGAUAGAAUUGUUUCCUUAUAGGUUUAAUACAAAUGAUUGGUAUUAGGAUAUAUACAUAUUAUCAAUACAUAGUGCAACCAAAAGCAUGAUUAAUUUCAUGUGCAGCCAUUUAUCAACACGAGAAGAUAAACACUCUUGGAUUUCAAAUAGAAGAUAAACACUCUACUAUUUUAUUUUUUAUUAAUUGAGGAAAAAAUGUUCAAUUUAUGUUUACGUUAAAAGUUUAUGUUAGAAGUUUCUAGUUUAUCAAUACGGAAAAAGGAAUUUAAGGGUGGUAUAUGGCUGUUCCCAUGAGCCAGUUGAUGGAAUGUUGUUCUGGUAAAAAGGAAAGGAAUAGUUAAGGAGUAGCUUAUGUGACACGCUGUGAUAUUAUGUUUUUUCAAGACGUAUACUGUCAUCUUAGUGUCACAUCAUCGCAUAGGCAAGUGGUGAUCUUCCUGAUCUUCAUUUUCAGGUAGCACACGGCAGAUGUAAGUUAAUGGAUGAUAGAAUGUCAUGGAUCAAUUGCAACUUAGGUGUUUUCAGACAGCUACCAUGUUCCUUUAAUAGUCUCAUUAUAGUCUUCAAGACAUCUCAUCAUGUAGCUACCUAGGGAUAUGGAUUUCUAAGGUCAUUCUUUGUCAUUUCAUUUUCCAUUCAAUUUUGUCUAACUCAGAGUCUUAAAAGUUUAAUAUGAUUUAUGCUUCUUUUAUUUAUUAUGUUUACCAUUUACCCACGUGCUUCGAUUUUUUAUGGUUUCUUUUAGGCUUCAUUAAUGUAAAUAUAUAUUUUUAGAUUUAUGGGAACAGAGUGAUUAUGCUAGAGAUUGGGGUCUGUGAUGCAUCCCGCUGAUACGGACUUCUCAUAAGUACUUUCAAAAUAACAUGAAGAUUACAGUAAACGUGAAAGUGAAUCGACAAAAUUGUUGAAUUUGACUUCUUAUAACUAACGGUUGUUGGUUUUAUUUGCUCUUGGAUUGUUUCAAUUGGUUACUGAAUUUGAAUUGCAUUUUAGUCAUGUAGAUAAAGGGAAUCAUCACGAUCUGUUUGUCAAUAUUGCAAAUGUUUUAGUAGAAUUAAGAUGCAAGGGUACUUCUGGCUUAGGAGGUUUAAAAUAUCUUAUAUUCUUAAUACGCCUGCAUUUAGUUACAUUUACUGCAAGGCUCUUUCAUGUUUAUUUUCCAAUGUGUUCUUUAAUCUAUGAUUUUUCUUAAUGAUUUUGGUUAAUAGUGGUGUCAAAAUUACUGAGAUAAACAAUUUUAGUACCAAGGCAUCUGUCUUCUUUUAAAUCUUCGCAAGGUAAACUUCUUUUAAAUUUUGAUCUACUGUUGAUAUGAUUGCUAUCCUACUUCAUAAUAUCCAUAAUCCCAUGAUAUACCUUACAAGUUUCUUUUUUCCCUCUUUCUCCAUUUCUUACUUCUUUUUUUCUUUUCCUUUAGAACUAUUUUUUAUCGUGAUAUUCCCUAUUGUGAUUGUGCUUCUAGAUCAUCACAUAAAAGUGCCAGCAUGGUGGGAAACUCUGAAUGGAAGCUAUAUGAAAUUUGGGAGAAAUACUCAAAAGUUGGGUUCCAUUAUUGAACCAUUAGAACCUGAACUUUAUAUUAGGACUCGUUUGUGCUCUACUUGGAAUACACCCAUCAAAACCCACACAAAAUAAACACUUCCAUGUCAGGGGCAUUUUGCUCACUUCAUCAAUAUUGACAAUUUAACCAGCACCUAACCUGACAAUCUGAGUUAAGUGCGACACUAAUAUAUGGUAGCGAAUGGCCAGGGAAAAAUUUUGAAGGUAUCUUUUAAUGACAUGGAAAUGCAGGAUAUUUGAAUCUUCGAAGGAAUAAAUCACAUUUUCAUAUAUUUGCAGUGUCACGUUGGAAGUUUACCAUUUUGUUUUAUGUACAUAUUCCUGCAUAUUAGGUUCUCCACCAUGUUCACUGAUAGAAUCUCUGUCAGCCAGUGGAUCAAAAGAUGUAAAGAUAUGAUAGGCCAAUGUGGUAAAUUACAAAAGACCAAGAUGUUAAGAUAUAAUAGACCAAUGAACUCUGGUCUGUGAUCUGUUGUUACAGAGUUCAACAAUUGAUGUGCUAUUCCCUGUAUAUGGCCGCAAUCAUAUGACAUAAGUGUCUCUACAUGCAACCAACUUCAUAACUAUUUCGAUAGGUAUUUUUCAUUUAGGCUUUUGCAAACAUUGCAUUACCAUGAAAAUCCAAUGAAUCAUCAUUCUAAAAGCUCAUUUUGCUUAUAGCUUUAUGAAAGUCUGCAUUGAUGCAUUAUCUUGUAGAAGUUGUGAAGUAAUCCAUGUUUCUUUUUGACUUCAUUACACUUUAUUUUUAUAAGCUUGUCGUGUCCUGCAAUGCAGGAGGCAUUUGCAACUAUAUCUAACCAUACCAUCAUGGAGACUCUUGGAGUCCUACUUGGUACUUGUAUUAACAUUUUGUUUAGUUCAGCUUACGAUCAGCUAUCCCUACUUGUCGUUUGUUCCUCAGUCAAAACUAUAUGGUGCAUGCUUAGCUCAUUUGUUCUGUUGUUUCGGAUGUAAGGAACCAUCCGAUUUUAAUUCACUGCAAACGGGGAAAGGUAUGAAAUUUAGGUCAGAUCAAGUUACUUUAUCUCACAUAUUUAUGUAAGGAUCUCUAAAACUCACUUAUAUUUACCCAUCAAUGUCCUUUCUUGCAGCACCGUACUGGUUGUCUUGUUGGCUGUUUCAGAAAAUUACAAAAUUGGUGCUUAUCCUCUGUGCAUGAAGAAUACAUAAAAUUUGCAUCGGUCAAGGCACGGCCGUCGGACAUGAAAUUUAUUGAGAUGUUUGAUGUUUCGUGUAUGAUGCAAUGUGUUCUUCAUAUCUUGUACCAGUACCAUGGCUGUGGCAACCACACUCGGUGCCUUGCUUAUCACAAGACAUCAUAAUUGCCCAUUCGGCUUCUCUGAUUUUGCAUGGGCAAGGAGAAGCAUCUAACAAGAUUCUCCAUGCACUUGCUGCUCUUAGUUCUCUCAUUAUCUUUUCUGUACAUCAUUCUAGUUAGAAAAUUAUCAUACUUUAAAGAGAAGUCUUUUGGGUGUAAGAACUGCAUCUCUUGAUGAACAU